UUAAAAAAUGGGCGGGAUACGCAAAUUCACAUUGCCACCAGUUCAAACCGAACCGGUGGCAUAAAUGGUAAAGGCCACCGGUUUGAACCCGUGGCAAUAAUAAAUUAAAAAAAAGCCCCCCUUAUAAACCCCAAACCCUAUCUCAUUUCCCUCUCAGUCGCUCUUUCUCUCUCCUACUCUCCCCUCUCCCCUUUCUCUCUCCUGCUCUCCCCUCUCUUCUUUCUCUUUCAAUUCGUCUUCUCUGUUCUCAUCUCCUUUUCUUCGAUCUUCUCCUUUGAUCUCCUCGUCUCCUUCUCUUUCAUUUCCACCAUCACCAAGACCACCACCGCAACAAUAAACCAUGAAGACAUGCACCACGAAGACAUGCACGAGGUAUAUUGAUUUAGAUGUAGAUGUUAAAUCGAAGAAUAAAGAUGUAGGAUUAUUGAUUUAGGUGUUAUAUGAGUUGUUUUUUAAUUUUAAUGUUGUAAUUUUUUUUUUGGUUUUUUAUUGUAAUUUUUUUUUUAAUGUUGGAAUUUUAGUUUUGUGUAAUUUGAUUAAUUUAGUUCGUUUAAAUUGGAAUUGUUGUAUGAGUAAUUUAGUUGUAGUUAUUAAUUUAGUUUUUUCACUCUUAAAAAGUGUACAAUUACUAGAUACUGAUGAAUAUAUAUGUGUUUUUAUGUAUUUUA